UACGGAGGGUGCAAGCGUUAAUCGGAAUGACUGGGCGUAAAGCGCACGCAGGCGGUCUGCUAAGCAAGAAGUGAAAGCCCCGGGCUCAACCUGGGAACUGCAAUUGGAACUGGCAGGCUAGAGUCGUGGAGAGGGGGGUAGAAUUUCCGGUGUAGCGGAGAAAUGCGUAGAGAUCGGAAGGAAUACCAGUGGCGAAGGCGGCCCCCUGGCCAAAGACUGACGCUCAGGUGCGAAAGCGUGGGGAGCAAACCGG
rnacentral:misc_RNA from 1 species